ACUGAACUUUACAAACUUUUGUAUAAGGCGGUCUUUCUUGUAAGACCACCUUAUAACUGAGUUGGGCUCAAUUCUCACGGAUCAACACGCGGAUCUGGGGUAUUCGGGUUCACAGGCGGGUCUGACAAUUCAGAUACUAUAAAAUCCUCUUUGUCCAUUUCUUUUCGUUUUAUUUGUUAAUUAUUUUUCUCUCAUCAACGGGACUCUCUCCCUCUCCGCCUCUCCCUCUCCUCGAAUCGCCGCGCCGCCGUCGUCGUUUGUACCUCGCCGCCGACGCCGUCGUCUGUACCUCGUCGUCGCCGUCCGUACCUCCGCGUUGUUGAGAUCGGUGGGCCAAAGGAAGGAGAAGAGCCGCGGUUUCGCCGUCGAAGUCUCUGUCUCCUAGUUUGAUUGUUAGUAUCCGGCGAGCCACCGCGUGACGGCGAUUGUGAUGGUCGUUACCGAUGUGGAUUUUCCGUGAAAGAUGCUUCAUCUCCGGCAAUUCCUCUCGUCGCUGCUGCAUCCAAGCUGAGGUUUUUGACACAGGAGCCACAGUUCAGUGGAGCUGCAAUGACACAUGAGCCACAGUUCAGUGGAGCUGUAAUGACACAUGAGCCACAGUUCAGUGGAGCUGCAAUGCCACGACAAUUCUGGUACAAGAUUGGUUUUCAGAAACACAACCAACACGUACUCAAGGUGCACACUGUGAUGUAGUGCUGUGAGCCUGUGAUGGUCAAGAAUCCCUAGCCACACCAUUGAGGUCCGAUAUAUUGUCACAGGCUUCAACGGCAUGAGAUCUUAAGGCCGCCACGCUAACAACAUUGUUAUUGAUUUAUUUUAUGUAUUUUAGAAAUGAUUAAAUUGGUUUUAGUUAACAAUACUUUUGUAAUAUUUAGUUAUAAAUUUUAUCAUUUUGUUACAUUCUUUUGCAAUAAAGUCGUUUUUUCUUUAGUUAAGAAUAAUUAUGUUUUAGUUAAUAAGAAAUUCAUUGUAGUUAAAGUUAAAUUUGUAUUAGUUGAAACUAUUUUUUGUUUUAGUUAUGAAUAAAGUCGUUUUAGUUAAGAUUAA